rnacentral:misc_RNA from 1 species
CUGCAGCAUCCGCACAACACCACCUCCGAACGCUCAAACUUGCUACUUUCCAUUUUUUCUCUUGCCGCGCACUUCGUCACCCCUAGUUGCUUUUCCAACCGCUCCACCUCACGAACAGAUCAGCAUGUCCGCCAUCAGCUCACUGCACUUCAUCUUCAAGGGGAAGAACUACAUGGUCCCUGAGAGUUUCGUGACGAAGGAACACCCGGGCGGCAAGGCCGUCCUCAUGGCGCUGGCAGACAAGGACAUCACGGAGGCUUUUGAGGAAGCCGGUCACUCGAACGACGCCAUGGAGAUGCUGGAGGAGUGGUGCGCCGACGUUUCCGCGACAGAGAAAGCCGAUCUGCUGAAGCGCGCUGAGGCGCGCCACGCCGAGGAGGAUGAGUGGCGUUGGCGCAGCACAGCGAUCGCUUUCAGCGUGGCCGCUGUUGUGGCCGCCGUGGUACUUCGCAAGAGCUCGUAGGAAGGGGCAGCUUGGUGUGCACUCAUUUUGAUCGAUGCACACGAGCGCAUCAGAAGCCCCCAAAGAGUUUUUUUUUUUGCGAAACGCCCACUGCUAUGUCUUCUCCGCAUCGGCGCAAGGAGCGUGACCAAGGCAGAGCCCCCUUCCCACCUUGUGUGUGUGUGUCUCUGUGCGUGUAUGAUGUGUAACCUAAUAUUUCUACUACUAUGUUUUGUUGCCUCCACUUCUUCGUUAUGCGCCGUGUUGCCGUUUUUUUCUGCCUCCUCGAUUCCGUGUCCGCGUUCUCUCUUCAGUUAGAUCGAACGCAACGCGCAGGCACGCACACACUACGUGAGACGUGAUGCCGGCACAGUUGACGGGGAAGCCUCUCUUAUAUAUAUAUAACAGGUUGUCGGUUCUCUCCGUCUCUCUCUUGCCCGUCUCACCGCCUUCCCUGUUGAGGUUUCUCUUGAUCCCCGCCUGCGUCUCCUCUGAUCCCUCGCCAGAGACAACACGGCGCCGACCCGCCCUCUUUGUCCUGCCCUUUUUUUUGUCUCCCCGUCUUCUCGAUUCUCUUCUCCUUCCUCUCCCAUGUGACCCCCCUUACCACCACCGCUGUGAUGGGGUGUGCCACGCGCUCGCACAAGUGCGCAGGCGUGGCCCUGUACGUCGGCACAUACGCUUUCUCUGCUUGUCCUUUCUGCGCCCGCGAGCGGAGAAGGAAGCGUGACGGUCUUUCAGUGGAGAUCGCAGCGACACAGAACGAGAUGCCCGUCCGCUGACGCCUCGUUCCUUGUUCUCGCUGCAUUUGGCGGGAGACGGAGAAAGGAGGGGGGCUGGGCGGUACUUCAUCACGUGCGGAGCAGGAACAGAGAAAUGCGGUCAUCAGCGAGCGUGCGCCUCUUUUCUUUCUUUUCCUAUUCGCAUGUCUUCCUUUUCAGGUUUUGCGAUGAUGCGCUCGUCUUUUUUGUUCCUGCGUCACGUCCAUUGAUGUGUCGAUGCCCUUGCUCCGCUCCUGCUUCGCAAGGCACUCGAUUGGAGUUCUUGCACGUCCGGAUGGAGGGGGAGUGGCGUGGUGAUGCGGUACAAAAGCGGGGCAGGGCAGGCGACGAUGCGCGCAGUCAUGUGACAGCGUUGAACUCUUCCUUUAUAUUUGUACGACGCGUGCUCUUGUUUCCCCCCUCUCUGUGUGCGUGAGUUUUUAUCUUUUUUGUUCGGGUUUUCUUUCCGAUGGCACAGAGCUGCGCCCCGCUCGUACGCAUUCAUGCCUCAUCGAAGGUUUGUGUAGUCAUCUACAGCACAAAAAAAAUGCAGCGAGCGAAAGACACGACAGGGCAGCACGAGGGAGGGAGGCGUGGGUGGCCCUGCCGUGUAAGGAAAGAAAUAGAAGGCGUGAAUGCACUGGCCGUCCACAGCGCCCUUGCUCUGCUCCGCUCCACCAAGCCUUUAUCGCUUGUCCCCCUCAGUGUCUCUGCGUCAGCGCCCCGGGACUAUUUCG